AAAUUAUUCCACAUCGUGUUUGUGAAGGCAAAGUGGUAUCUGUGGUGCAAUACUGAAUAAGAUAAAGUAUGACAAGACCUACCAUAGGUACCCUAUCUAUUAAUACGUUCCUAUUGACAAGCAUAAUCCAGGGACUAGCGCUAGGUAGACACCCUAUUUAUUAAAACAUACCCGAUGACAAGCAUGAUUCAGUGACGGUAUACAUCGUAGCUGUAUGUCGCCGCACCGAGGAGCUCCCUUACAACGCAAUACCUACUUCCUUUCCCAUCCUCAACAUCUCUCCAGGGAUUUGGAUCUGCAACAACUGCCGGAUAUGCAGCGCCUGAUCACGUCUUCGCGAAUUCCUUAUAUGCAAGUUCGCUGUUUAGAACGAGGAGCGUAAAGAACUUCUUCAGUGAUUACAAGGAAUCAAGUUUUCCAAUGACUGUUUGAGCAACGCUGAUACGCAACCCGUAUUUAUCGAAGGAGCGCAAAAAACUCGUCUUCGUGACCCUAAGGCUUCGAAGUUUCACGAUUUCCCCGCAAGGUGGCAGCAGCAGCCGUCACGCUGACCUCGACCUCCUGUGAUUAGAAAUUUUAGCUAACGCAAUAGCAGUAAGAACGAAAUAGAAAAUGGAUAGCAUAGUCAGGCGAUAUCAUCAUGAACUGCUGCAAUAUAUAACUUGAAGUGAAACUGUUCAAGGGCGGGGGGAAACGACGAAGGAAGCAUGUCAUGUAGAAGAAAAAAAGGGAAACUGACGGUAGAAUCUCGACACAGGAGAGAGUAAUGGAAAACAACGGAUAUGGACAUAUGUUGCAGUGAUAAGAAAAUUGACGACAGAGAACUGAAAUCAGAAUCGUAUGUUAGCUGUGAAGAGGAGGCGGACCCGCGCAGAGUAUAUUCGCGCCAUAAUAUUUACGCAAAUUACACGUUUUACAGUAAUAGCAAAGAGUUUAUUCACAUCAUAAUCACGGAGUAUAUUCGCGUCAUAGUCAUUGGACAAAAUACAUUCAAAACAUAAUAACUAACGUCUUGUAUAUCACGUCAUUGAGUUCUGCUAUUUAUUUAACAAACACACACACACACACACACACACACACACACACACACACACACACACACACACACACAUACACUCAGAGCCAAAGUAAUGGAUAUUUACUGAAAUUCAUUGCACGUAGUCAUCAAAAAGGUCUAUAAUUUUCCAUGCAACUUUGUCACGUGAAUACUUGUUAAUUACAUUCAAUUCAUCCAUACAUUUGAUUGAAAAAGCAUUGUCAGCUUCAUCAACAGCCAGUUCAAACCUUUACAGUCAGAAUCAUCAUAAUUAUAAUAAAUAUAAAUGAGUAAUUAUGUGAUGGAAUAAUAUGGAUGAUAAUGAUAACAACAACUGCAAAACUAUAAGGC